GUGUCAGCAGCCGCGGUAAAACGUAGGACGCAAGCGUUAUCCGGAGUUACUGGGCGUAAAGCGCGGGCAGGCGGUCUUGCCAGUCUGAUGUGAAAUCUCUCCGCUCAACGGGGAGCAGCCAUUGGAAACUACAAGACUGGAGUCUGACAGAGGUAGGCGGAAUUCCGGGUGGAGUGGUGAAAUGCGUAGAGAUCCGGAGGAACACCAGAGGCGAAGGCGGCCUACUGGGUCAGUACUGACGCUGAGCCGCGAAAGCCAGGGGAGCGAACGGGAUUAGAAACCCCCGUAGUCC
rnacentral:rRNA from 1 species